AUCACACAUGAUGUAUGUCGCUUUGGAUUAAAGCGUCUGCUAAAUGGCUUAUA
rfam:Salmo salar isolate Sally breed double haploid chromosome ssa15, whole genome shotgun sequence.